GAGCUCCUUCUAGAGUUUGUGAGGCCCUGUCCUCUUAGCACUCCUUCUCCCAGGCCCCAGCAAGGCUGUCUGUGUUCACCAGGCAGAGGCUAGGCUGUAGGAUGCUGGUGUUAGUUAGGGAGAAACUGGAUUUUCUUAGAUCCACAGAAUCAGACACAAGUCAUGAGACUAUGUCAUUUAAUUUGCAACUCCAAAUGCUUUUGAGGCUGAGUUAACUGUGGGACGUCUCUUUGGAUUUACUCUCAGGCAGGGCUCCUCUCUGGGGAGCAAACUACUCCUGAGGUGAGGUGGGGGAGGACAGAUGUGUACCAGUGAUCCCAGCAGCCUAGGGAGGAGGCCCGACUUGCAGAGGCAUUCUUUCAGCUAAUUAAAGAGCACCCUCUUUGAUAAAGGCAGUUACCUCUUGGGAAAGGAGCUUGUUAGCAGCUCUCAGAACCUGCGUGUGAAUGAAUUUCCAGGUUCUUUCCAAGCUGAGAGCAGGUACUGCGAGGACGAGGCACGGCCUGGGACAGAAAAGUUCUCCAAGUCUCCACUUGACCCGGGAAGUCCAGUUGGCUUCACCUCUCACCAGCAGUGUGCCAGACCAUCGGGCAUCCUCAGGAGGCGUGGAUCCGUGAGGAAUUUGGAGAGAGGCCUGGAGUUGGAGCCUGCGCUCGCUGUUUGGUCCCAGUUCGUGCCAUCUCAUCCUCGUGUACUCAGCUGGUGUUCCACACAGAAACCCCCUGGGGCCAGCGUGCACGGUGUAGGCUUGAGGUGG